rnacentral:misc_RNA from 1 species
AAUUCUCAACUUCACCGAUUAGAUUCGAGUGGAAGCUUGGAGUUUGGAGCGUGCUGGCCCUCCCCGGGGUCGGCUCCUCUUUAAAUGCAGCAGCGGAGUCAUCUUUGACCUUGCGGCAUUGGCGUGAUAGUUGUUGUUGCGCCGUUGGCCCAAGGUCUCGGUCCGCUUACAAAAUGGUCUGGGGAUGACUUGGACAAUGAAAUGUUU